GGAAGUAGGUAGUACGGUGAGAAAAACGGAGAAAACUUGUUUGUUUACAUUGUCUCACGGCCGCAAUGAUGCAGUUAUCCUUCAGAAAGCAAUGGUUGCGGCCACGACAACGUCUCGGCCCGGAAGUUCCUGGACGCGGCCCGGCAGACGGGGGACCAGAUGUUGUUCUACACCAUCUUCAGAUCCUUCCAGCAGAGGAACCAGCGGCUCCGGGGGAGCCCCGCCUUCACCCCAGGGGAACACUGUGACGAUCACGUCUUCCACUUCAAGCAGCUGUUCAGGGAGCAGGCGCUGAUGAAGAACAACACCGUCUGACAGGAAGUGAUGUCACCGCCAUCUGACAGGAAGUGAUGUCACCACCGUCUGACAGGAAGUGAUGUCACUUCCCCAUCAUCAGGUAGCCAUCAGGCUACCUGAUCAGGACGACUGACGGAAACUGGAGAUGUUGUUCUGUUAGAUACUUACUGUGAUGAAGGUGAUGAUGGUGAUGAUGGUGAUGAUGAUGAAGAUGAUGAUGAUGAUGAUGAUGAUGAUGAUGAAGGCUCGGGCCUCCAGAGCUUCUGAACUUCCUCUGAUGUAAAUAAAUGAUAAACUGUAUGAAAUAAAGUGUUUGUUUUGCCUCAAAUUGACGACUUUCCUGUUUAAAUCACCGGGGGUUAAAUCACCGGGGGGUUAAAUCACCGGGGGUUAAAUCAUCAAAUCACCGGGGGUUAAAUGAACAUCAAAUGAAAACACCACACUAAGAACUCCCAGGGCUUCGACCACACGGUGAACAGACGACACCGCCAGCAGCAACACUAGAACACAGACAGAAUGUUAAAACCAAUACAACUAAAACAUAAAAUACUAAACUAAAAUAAACAGCAGUCAGUGCUAUGCCUAGAAGUAAAAGAAAACUCUGUUAAAAUGUUGUUUGUAGGACAUGUUGUGAGGUUUAAAUCAUCUUUUACAUACCUCAAUAUUUUAAAACAGUGAAAGUUUCAGUCCUACAAACAGAGAGACCCACAAUUAAAAUCAUUAAAAUACAAAUACCUCAGGGUGCAUAUUCAUGCACCCCUACGCUACCCUUAACCAUAAAACCUCUAGAAAUAAAAUAAAACAAUGCUAAAAACCCCUAAAUGUUCCUUACCGCGGGGCAGAGUCACGAACACAGAGAGAGAGAGAGACCUGCGUCACCUGCUGUUAACCAGAGUUCCUGUUCCUCUGAUUGGUCUCUCCGCUGACCUACUGCUAAAAAAGUGAAAGAUAAAAAACAUUGAAACACUAGAUAUACUUAAUAAAACUAAAUCAAACAUCCAC